rnacentral:lncRNA from 1 species
UUGCAGCCCAGCAGUGCUGACCAGCUGAUGGAUUGCCAGGACUCUGAUGGAACCAUGCUUGGAGAAAGAGGACUUCACUGCCCCUCACCAUGGAUCGGACUGUUAGAUGAUGAACUUUGUUUUGGAGACUGAACCAUUGCAUAUCUGCAUGAAAAGUACUGUGCUGAGAAUAAAAAGCUUUGAUGCUUGUCCUGUAUCCGUGGGAUCCAUGCAGACCUGAAGCAGGUUUUAGUUCAAGAAAAUGAAGAAAAGACUGAAAUAAAGACAAAAGGAAAUCCUGCA